rnacentral:lncRNA from 1 species
GAAAUAGUCAUCUUUCCACUUCUCCAGGAGCCCCUCUCGCACUCCAGCCUCACCGCCAACGUUGAGGGGCAGAAGCGGCCUCAGCAUCCAGAUGGGUCCUGUUUCCCUCAAGGAUGGGCCUGUUCCAACUGCAUUUCACUGGCCUGCCUGCCUCCCCUGAGGGUUGUGUAAACAUUUCCAGAAGAUACAGAUAAGAAGAAGAAGAAGAAGAAGAAGAAGAAGAAGAAGAAGAAGAAGAAGAAGAAGAAAGAUUUAUGUAAACACUAGAUGCCUAGGGACUAGAAGUAUUAUUAGUUUAUUAGACUUUUUAAAAUACCCAAUAACUCAACCGAAGGAAAGAAAAAAAUGUGCUUUCGUUUUAACUUCUCUUGUUGCUUGGUCAGGAAUACCGGAGAACCAGGCAUCUCAGGAGCCUGGUGACAACGCAGAUCACUAGAGGGGCAAGAAGGGUCCAUGUAGAGGUUUGUCGGUGGUGAUGUCACUGGCCCAUGAGGAAUGGUGGGGUAGGGCUCCCCUUCCAUCAAUUCAGAAAAGCCCAAGAGUGGGGCAGGUUGGAGAGCACCCCCAACUGCAGCCUUCGGUGCCCUGUGGCCUGGUUCUGACCCGACCCCUGGCACUUCUCCCUCGUUGAUCACGUUCCUGUUGCUCUGUGUUCCCAAGAUCCUUUCCAUAGCACAAUCUUUAUACGUUGUGCAUUCAAUUUGCCAAGCUUUUCCUGAGCAUCCUGCUUAGCUCACCCCUCCUUAUCCCUUCAGGCUUUAGGUUAGGUAUCACCUCCUUUGAGAGGCCUUCCGUGAUUGUCCAUCCAGAGGAAUGAUCCUAGACUGAUUUCUAUUGGAGCUCCCUUUAAUUUUCUGAUAGAGCUAUUAUCACACGGACUGGGACCAGAGCUUAUUUUACAUGUUUGUCCAUUUGCUUUCUGUCCUCUUGACUAGAGUGUAAAAUC